AGGUUUUAGGUGGACUGUGGUCCUGUAGUUUUUCCCGCAUCGAGUUUUCCACGCAAAAAUCUUAGUGUUGAUUUGUGUGAUUAUUGCUUUAUAUUUGUU